AUGCAGGCCCAGGAAGGUUUUGUGCAUGGGGGGGGGAAGGGAGGCUUCCUCGUGUUGUGCUUCUUGCUUUUUGUGCUGGGGGGCAAUUUCUCUCCAGGACCGGGACCUUGCAGGGCCUGCACGCUGGCUGGUGCUCUCGGGGGGUUGAGGAGGAGGCAAAGCCACUUUGUCAAGGUGUGUGGAAACCCCGCACUAAGGUCAAGAGGGGUUGUGCUCCGGUCCCAUCUGGAGCAGAGAGAGCGAAGUGAGUGGGGGGGGGAAACGGGGGGGCACUGCAGUCCCACAUUUCUUUCAACCUCCCAGGUGAGCCAGGAUUGCACAAACCAGGAGAGGAGCCGAUCUCUGCGCCAUCAUGCACCCAGCCUCUGUGCGUGUUUGCUCUCCUCUGGGAAAAGGGAGUUCUCCUCUGCCACGGGAGAGAGGCGUGGGCCCAGCCAGCCUCCAGGGUCUACGUCUGAGGGAUACCUCUGUGGUCCAGGUGUGAAACCCUCUCUGCCUGCCUUCCCAGGAGUUUGCCGGGGGGAGGGGCUUGCUCCUGGCUGAGCCUCUGGAGGUGAUUCCUGACCAACUGACCGAGGCCUCCUUGCCUGACCGGUCCAAAGGCAGCCCUGGGCACCUGGCCCUUCGCUGAGAAGGAGAACGUAGGAGAGCCCCAAACAGGGAGCAUCCUCCACUGGGGUGGGGGGGCAAAAGCAGGCACAGACCUUGAAUGUCAGGCCAAAAAGAAAAAGAAGACAAAAACACGGUGGCCCCUCAAAGACCAGCGACUCUAUUUUAUUGUGAGGUUUUGUGGAUCGAGUCCACUUCCUCGGAUGUAAGAGACAUUGGUACACUGGACCCACCCAAGCUCACGUCAAAAUAGAGCAGUUUCUUUUUAAGGGGCCAGAAUGAUUUUGUCCCCUUUUUGCUUUUGCUUUUUCCUGUGCCUUUGGCCUGAUACUCCAGGAAUGACCAACUAGAACCUAAUCUAGAACCCAGUGGUCGCCUGGAAAACCAGCAAGUGUUAUCGGGAACGACCCCCUUGGAGGCUCCCACCUCCUUCUGCAGGGCCUUGGAGCAAGGAAGCCUCAGGAGGGAGCCGUUUCAAGGCAAACCCACAGACACACCCAGCAGGGCGACAGUCUUUGCAGUGGUGAGACAUGGACAUUGGAGUGGGCAGAGGGGAAUGGAGGGGGGGGGAAUGAUACAUACAAGAAACUGCCUGCGCAGGGGCCGGCCGUAGUGCAGAGCUCAGCCAAGCUGGGUGCUCAGCCGGACAGCCAAACAUGGACGGACUGAGUCACAUCCAGCAGGAGAUUAAAAAGCCCUUGUCCCUGUUCAAGCCGAGGGAGCAAGCGAGACGAAACCUCCGUAUGAAUUCUCGCUUGCUGUGUCCUGCGGGAGUCCCUCCUGGAUGUCCUUUGAGGCCGGGGUGG
rnacentral:lncRNA from 1 species